CCUGGCCACCGACUACGAGACCUACAGCUGCGUCUACGCCUGCGCCCAGGUUGGGGACUACAGAGAACAGUUCGCGUGGGUGCUGUCACGCACGCAGGAGCUCGACGCUGACACGCUCACAACCGUGCUCGGAGUGUUCGAGUCUAACGGCAUCGACACAGCGGUGCUCCAGCCUACGCCGCAAGGGGGAGACUGCGUCUACGCGCCAGUUCCUCCCAAGAUAUAAAC